rnacentral:rRNA from 1 species
GAUGAACGCUGGCGGCGUGCCUAAUACAUGCAAGUCGAGCGAACAGACGAGGAGCUUGCUCCUUUGAUGUUAGCGGCGGACGGGUGAGUAACACGUAGGUAACCUACCUAUAAGACUGGGAUAACUUCGGGAAACCGGAGCUAAUACCGGAUAAUAUUUCGAACCGCAUGGUUCGAUAGUGAAAGAUGGCUUUGCUAUCACUUAUAGAUGGACCUGCGCCGUAUUAGCUAGUUGGUAAGGUAACGGCUUACCAAGGCAACGAUACGUAGCCGACCUGAGAGGGUGAUCGGCCACUCUGGAACUGAGACACGGUCCAGACUCCUACGGGAGGCAGCAGUAGGGAAUCUUCCGCAAUGGGCGAAAGCCUGACGGAGCAACGCCGCGUGAGUGAUGAAGGUCUUCGGAUCGUAAAACUCUGUUAUUAGGGAAGAACAAACGUGUAAGUAACUGUGCACGUCUUGACGGUACCUAAUCAGAAAGCCACGGCUAACUACGUG